UAAUAUAACUUUUCUCCCUUUUCUUUCCCAAAUACAUGCCCCUUCUUUCCUUCAAAUUCGUGGCCUAUUUUUAACUAAUUGUUAGUGUGUGUGUGUGUGUGUGUGUGUGUGUGUGUGUGUGUGUGUGUGCGCGCGCGCGCGCGUGCUUGUUUGUGUUUGUGUGUGUUUUUAAGGCUGAUCUUUUGGCAGUUCUAAUGGAUACAUCUACAAAACACUUCCACACCUAAGGCUCAGGGGACAUUGUAGAAGACAGAAUAAAAAGACUGACAAAGCCAGAUAAUUGGGGAGUUUGUUUAAGAUUCUAAUCUUCUAGUAAUAGUAAAAGCUAUACCUAUAAGUACAACUUUCAGAGAUCUAAUUGUGGAAUGACAGCCUUCAGAGAUACACAAAAAUUAGAGAUUGUAGGAAAAUAUAUAUUGUGCUAUAUAGGAAGCAAAAUAUUUUAGAAAGAAAUUAAUUGAAAAAACUUGUAUUUGUUUGUCAUUUAUAACAACUGGAUCGUGCCCAUUGUAUCAGCCAUAUAAUAUUUGCCAAUUCUCAGCAGAUGAUAACUUUUGUUGUUCCUAUUUUAUCUGUAGUAUCAACAGCGGAUAUUUAGGCAAACAUCUUUAUACUUUUGUUUUCUUCAAGGAUAAGUUACUGCAAAAUUACAGAAGUGAGAAUGUAAAUGCCAUAACAUUUAAAAUACACCAUUUCUUUAGCCAAACUCUCUUCAGAAAGAUGAAUGAUUAUACUCUUAUGUAAGGGUGAGAUGACCACUAGUUAUAACACUCACAUAUUUACUUUCUCCUGUGAUACAUGUUUUUUUCUGAGAAAUAUUGAAGCUUUCAUAGUUUUGCAACAUGAAUUAAAAAAAUACCAGAGACUGAUAUUGGGGUUCAAGCUUCAAGCUGAAGAGCAGAAAAGCAAAGCACCCAACCACUAACUCUUACCUCUAACUCAGGCUGAAAGGGCUCUCCUCUCCUCAGUGUGGCUGGAGAAUAAAUCUCUCCACCAAGCCUCA
rnacentral:lncRNA from 1 species